CACCGCGGUUAUACGAAGGGCUCAAGUUGACGAACACCGGCGUAAAGCGUGGUUAAGGACAUAGACAACUAAAGCCGAACAUCCCCCCAGCUGUUACAUGCCCCCGGAGGACUGAAGCACAACCACGAAAGUGGCUUUACCCCCCCCCCCUGAACCCACGUCAACCAAGAAA
rnacentral:rRNA from 1 species